AGGAAAAGAAACUAACAAGGAUUCCCCUAGUAACUGCGAGUGAAGCGGGAAAAGCUCAAAUUUAAAAUCUGGCGGUCUCUGGCCGUCCGAGUUGUAAUCUAGAGAAGUAAUGCCCGUGCUGGACCGUGUAUAAGUCUCCUGGGAUGGGGCGUCAUAGAGGGUGAGAAUCCCGUCUUUGACACGGACUACCAGUGCAUUGUGGUAUGCUCUCAAAGAGUCGAGUUGUUUGGGAAUGCAGCUCAAAAUGGGUGGUAAAUUCCAUCUAAAGCUAAAUAUUGGCGAGAGACCGAUAGCGAACAAGUACCGUGAGGGAAAGAUGAAAAGAACUUUGGAAAGAGAGUUAAACAGUACGUGAAAUUGCUGAAAGGGAAACGCUUGAAGUCAGUCGCGUUGGCCGGGGAUCAGCCUUGCUUUUGCAUGGUGUACUUUCUGGUUGACGGGUCAGCAUCAAUUUUGACCGCUGGAAAAAGACCUGGGGAAUGUGGCAGCUUCGGCUGUGUUAUAGCCCCUAGUCGCAUACAGUGGUUGGGAUUGAGGAACUCAGCACGCCGCAAGGCCGGGUUUCGACCACGUUCGUGCUUAGGAUGCUGGCAUAAUGGCUUUAAGCGACCCGUCUUGAAACACGGACCAAGGAGUCUAACAUGCCUGCGAGUAUUUGGGUGGAAAACCCAAGUGCGUAAUGAAAGUGAAAGUUGAGAUCCCUGUCGUGGGGAGCAUCGACGCCCGGACCAGAACUUUUGGGACGGAUCCGCGGUGGAGCAUGUAUGUUGGGACCCGAAAGAUGGUGAACUAUGCCUGAAUAGGGUGAAGCCAGAGGAAACUCUGGUGGAGGCUCGUAACGAUUCUGACGUGCAAAUCGAUCGUCAAAUUUGGGUAUAGGGGCGAAAGACU
rnacentral:rRNA from 1 species